rnacentral:tRNA from 1 species
AAAGCUUUAAGUUAUCUAAACUAAUAGCCUUCAAAGUUAUCAAAAAGAGUAAAAAUCUCUUAAGCUUUA